CAGUAGCUCAAUUGGACAGAGCAUCGGCCUUCUAAGCCGGCGGUUGUGGGUUCGAUCCCCGCCUGAG
rnacentral:tRNA from 1 species